rnacentral:misc_RNA from 1 species
AAAAGGAAAGCGACUCCAGAGGUUCCCCGCUCGCUCUCUCCUCAGCACCACGACAGGAUAAAGCGUGUCGCACACGGCGAAUCGGGCAGCGAAUGCGGACUGGCCUUUGUCCGUGAAAAGGCGAGCACCGUCUCUCUUUCUCUCUGCUCAUCUCGGUCACCCUCCUUCUUCGGCUCAACAUUUCUCUUUAGCUGGCCGGCGACGAUGGAGUCCUUUGAUCCGUUUCGGGUGGUGGGCUCCAUCUGCGGACCUGUCCCGGUGUGCCCCACACUGCUCUACGGCACGCCGGUGCUGAUGGUGGCCACUGGCCGCACCUUUCAGCUCUACAAGGGCAAGGAGCUGGCAAUGAUGCGCGGCGGUCCGACGUUUCAGGACACGGUUCGUGCGGUAGCACAAGCUGGUAAGUACCGCGCCGUCGCGGAGGGGCCGCGCCUGCACGUCUACGUGCACCACAAGCCCCUCUGGUCGAGCCACCAUGAAGCCGCCACGAAGCCGAGCAUCACACUCCUACUGGCCCAGGAUGACCUCCUGUUCAGCGUUGGCGACGACAAGCGCAUUGUGGUGUGGGAGCUCAAGACGGGCACAGUGCUGCAGGCGAUGUUGGUGGAGAACACUGAGACGGUCACGUGCCUUGCACUGCUGACGGGGUACACGAACAAGAUGCUUCUCGCGACGGCAGAGGGAACGUUGCAGCUCUGGAACUUCCGUUCUGGCGCCUGCCUGUGGUACUCCAUGCGUAGCAGCGGUAGCAGUUCCGUGCAGGCGUCACGUGCCACCGCCGGCGGUGCCGCCGCCAUCACGGCACUCGCUUGCAGCAGGUACAAGGACAUCAUCGCCUACGGCACAACGGAGGGGAAGGUUGUUGCGUGCAACGUGGCAACGGACGAGGUGAUCACCACCUUCGACCAUAGCGAGAGCUGUGCUGUUACGUCGCUGCUGUUUCGCACGGACAAAGACGGCCUGCUUGUGUCCGGCACGAGCCGUGGCGAGGUGGUCAUCUGGGACCUCGAAAAUCGAUGCAUGGACGGCACCUUGACCCGGUCCAAGCAAGUGCGCUCGGAGCUGGAGGCACUGGAGCGUCCUCACGUCGACGUCGUGCACUCGCUCGUCAUGUUUGACUUGCCGGAGUACACGUCGUUGCUCAUCACAGGUAGCGCCGACAACGCCCUCAUGCAGUUCCGCUUUGACACCGUGGACGGCCUUGGCGUAUUGGUGCGGGAGCGCCGUGGACACAUGGGAAGCUGCACCAACGCCAUCUUCUACAACACCGACCUUCUCGUUACGGCUGGCAACGACCGUGCCUUGCGCGUCACGCACGUCUUCUCCGACCGCGCAUCAUGGGAGCUGUCGCAGGGCAAGCUGGGCAAGCGCGGGCGCGAGAAGAACUUGGGGCGGGAGGCCGUGAAGCUGCCCCCUGCCACCGCGCUUGCCGCCGCGACCACGCGCAACUACCAGUGGUCGAGUCUUGUGUCGCUACACGCCGCGUCGGCGCUGGCGUGCGGCUGGCGAAUGGACACACGCGCGAUGGAGUUCAAGCUAUCCGGCAUUCAGACCUCCGCCCACACCGCCCGCGCUCUGGCGCUGUCGGACUGCGGCAACUACGCCGUCGUCGGAUACUCCAGUGGAAACGUCGCUGUUUUGAGCCUGCAGAACCGCAGUGUGCGUCACCUCUUCGACGCCGAUCUCGGUGCCGAUCGAGCCCAUGACAGCUCGGUGGAGUGCGUCGAAGUGGCGUGCGGCAACACCGUGGUCGUGACGGCCGGGCUGGACGGCGUGAUCAAGAUGUGGGAUCUGUGGACUGGCAAGCUGAAGGCAGCCAUCCCUACCGGCCAGCCGAUGACCAAGUCGUGCAUGCACGAGGCAUCAUCGCUCUUCAUUGUUGCGCAGCAUUUCACCAUUCGCGUCUACCAUGCCAAUCCCGACGUCGGUCUCACGGAGGAGGAGCUGCGCACUCCAGUUCGCGAGCUGGAGGGCCACAACAGCCCUAUUACGGCGCUCGCGCUCGCGCCUGACACGUACCGCUACGUAGCGUCGACCUCCGGUGAUGGUGCGCUGCUCGUCUGGGACUUGGCCGCCGCCGCCUGCGUCGGGCAGUAUCGCUUCGCAUCGCCUGCUUUGUCCCUCAGCUUUCAUCCCGAUGCGCUCUUCCUUGUCACCACGCACGCCGGUGAGCGCGGCGCGUAUCUGUGGGUCAACAACAUCCGCUACGGGUACGUGCCGGAGGUGGUCCUGAGUCCAAAGGUGAACGCGGUAGAGACGCUGCCGUGGCUAUACUUCCCCACUGCGCACGGGGCAGCUGAGGGGACUGCCGAGGAAAGCACAAACGGCAGUGUGCCGCGCACGUCGGCAGCCGCAGCGCUCACGGAGGCGGAGGAAGAGGAACGCGCGGCCGCCGAAGCGGAGGCGCGGGAGGCGGCAGUCGCAGAGGCAAAUCUGUUUGAUGCAUCGCAGGACAUUGCCCUGGCGCGUCGGCGACAGACGGAGGCACAGCAAGCGGCGCUCGACGCGAUCAUGACAGAAGGGAUGCAGCUAGCUGGAGUGCCGCAGCGCCUGUGGUUCAACCUCACCGUGCUGGACCAAAUCAAGGAGAAGAACCAGCCCCUGCUCCCGCCCAAGAAGAAGGAUGUGCCGUUCUUUCUGCCCACCACGCAAGAGCUGCGGCCAACGUUUCUUGUCAUGGUAUCCGACAACCGCAAGAACGAUACCGGGAACGCGAAGGGGCGACUGAUGCACGCCGACAUGGAGGAGCUGACGCCGGUGCAGGAGAUGCUUGUGAAGGAGAAGCACGACGCUCUCAUGGACUACUUUUUGUCUCUCAAGACCGCGCAAGCAAUCGACCUGGAGCUGAAGCGCGCGGUGGAUUAUGUGAACGGCAGCAGCUACACAGCCGCUGAGCUGGCGAGGAUGCAAGCGUGCGUGAAGGGCCUGCUGUCCUUCAUCACGGUGUGGCUGCGGCGAAACAAGAACGUCGACUUUGUGCAGGGACUCCUUGCGGACGUGGUUCGCUCUCACGGGGCACUGCUGACCCGCUUCGGCGACGCGCUUGUGCCGGCGCUGGAGGAGUUGGCAGAGGUGCAGAACACGCUGCGCCACUCGGUAGAUCACCUGGUGUCGUACCCGACCUGCCUCGCGGGCACCUUCUCUGGCUCUAUCUUCUAACCUAAAAGGCAGCAGCGACGCAAGAAAGCAAGAGAAACGGGGAGAAGAUGAUGGAGCACGUUGGCGCGCUGCCGAGACUGUCGACUUGGCCACCGCGUAGUGUUCUCGUCUAGCCUUUCAAGGCGGAUUAAUCGACUAGUAUGUGCUUGGCAGGUCUGCACUUUCUCCUCCACCUUACCUUGCUUUGCCUUCUACUUUCCGUGCACUCGCUCUGGUCGUUCUGUCGGUUUUCGUUUAAG